rnacentral:rRNA from 1 species
ACCUACGGGGGGCAGCAGUGGGGAAUAUUGGGCAAUGGACGCAAGCCUGACCCAGCAACGCCGCGUGAAGGAAGAAGGCUUUCGGGUUGUAAACUUCUUUUAUCAGGGACGAAGCAAGUGACGGUACCUGAUGAAUAAGCCACGGCUAACUACGUGCCAGCAGCCGCGGUAAUACGUAGGUGGCAAGCGUUAUCCGGAUUUACUGGGUGUAAAGGGCGUGUAGGCGGGAGUGCAAGUCAGAUGUGAAAACUAUGGUCUCAACCAAUAGCAUGCAUUUGAAAUUAUACUUGUUGAGUGUUGGAGAG